GGGGUCUUUGUUGAAAGGUCUCACAUGAUAUUUAAUGAGCUAUGGAUGAUGUCAUUUAUAACUACCUGAACACAGUAUUGAUGUGAUGGCAAUUUGCUUGAGGCAAAUUGGUAUACAAAGUUACCAGUUGCUCAGUGCGACUUAAAUAGCCUCGAUACCCGUGUUCCAAUGGGCUCCGCACAGCUGUAGGUCCAUGUGUCCAUCACAGUAGGUCACAUAUGUAGGUCUCUUCUCCAUCAUAGUAGGUCACUGCUGUAGGGUCAUGUCUCCAACACAGUAGGUCACAGCUGUAGGGUCAUGUCUCCAUCACAGUAGGUCACAGCUGUAGGUCCAUGUGUCCAUCACAGUAGGUCACAGCUGUAGGUCAAUGUGUCCAUCACAGUAGGUCACAGCUGGAGGGCCAUUCUUCAUCACAGUAGGUCACAAACUGUAGGCCCCUGUCUCCAUCAUAGUAGGUCACAGCUGUAGGGUCAUGUCUCCAACACAGUAGGUCACAGCUGUAAGGUCAUGUCUCCAUCACAGUAGGUCACAGCUGUAGGUCCAUGUGUCCAUCACAGUAGGUCACAGCUGUAGGCGCAUGUCUCCAUCACAGUAGGUCACAGCUGUAGGUCUCUUCUCCAUCAUAGUAGGUCACCAACUGUAGGUCCAUGUGUCCAUCACAGUAGGUCACAGCUGUGGGUCUCUUCUCCAUCACAGUAGGUCACAGCUGUAGGUCCAUGUCUCAAUCACAGUAGGUCACAGGUGUAGGUCCAUGUCUCCAUCAAAGUAGGUCACAGGUGUGGGUCCAUUUGUCCAUCACAGUAGGUCACAGCUGUAGGUCUCUUCUCCAUCACAGUAGGUCACCAACUGUAGGUCCAUGUGUCCAUCACAGUAGGUCACAGCUGUAGGUCCAUGUCUCCACCACAUUAGGUCACAGCUGUAGGUCCAUGUCUCCAUCACAGUAGGUCACAGUUGUGGGGCCAUGUCUCCACCACAGUAGGUCACCAACUGUAGGUCCAUGUCUCCAUCACAGUAGGUCACCAACUGUAGGUCCAUGUCUCCAUCACAGUAGGUCACCAACUGUAGGUCCAUGUCUCCAUCACAGUAGGUCACAGCUGUGGGUCUCUUCUCCAUCACAGUAGGUCACAGCUGUAGGUCCAUGCCUCCACCACAGUAGGUCACAGCUGUAGGUCCAUGUCUCCACCACAGUAGGUCACAGCUGUAGGUCCAUGUCUCCACCACAGUAGGUCACAGCUGUAGGUCCAUGUCUCCAUCACAGUAGGUCACAGCUGUAUGUCCAUGCCUCCACCACAGUAGGUCACAGCUGUAGGUCCAUGUCUCCACCACAGUAGGUCACAGCUGUAGGUCCAUGUCUCCACCACAGUAGGUCAUAGCUGUAGGUCCAUGUCUCCACCGCAGUAGGUCACAGUUGUGGGUCCAUGUCUCCAACGCAGUAGGUCACAGCUGUAGGGUCAUGUCUCCACCACAGUAGGUCACAGCUGUAUGUCCAUGUGUCCAUCACAGUAGGUCACAGCUGUAGGUCUCUUCUCCAUCACAGUAGGUCACCAACUGUAGGUCCAUGUGUCCAUCACAGUAGGUCACAGCUGUAGGUCCAUGUUUCCACCACAUUAGGUCACAGCUGUAGGUCCAUGUCUCCAUCACAGUAGGUCACAGCUGUAGGUCCAUGUCUCCACCACAGUAGGUCACAGCUGUAGGGCCAUUUGUCCAUGUCUCCAUCACAGUAGGUCACAGCUGUAGGUCCAUGUGUCCACCUCAGUAGGUCACAGCUGUAGGUCCAUGUCUCCAUCACAGUAGGUCACCAACUGUAGGUCCAUGUCUCCAUCACAGUAGGUCACAGCUGUGGGUCUCAUCUCCAUCACAGUAGGUCACAGCUGUAUGUCCAUGCCUCCACCACAGUAGGUCACAGCUGUAGGUCCAUGUCUCCACCACAUUAGGUCACAGCUGUAGGUCCAUGUCUCCACCACAGUAGGUCAUAGCUGUAGGUCCAUGUCUCCACCGCAGUAGGUCACAGUUGUGGGUCCAUGUCUCCAACACAGUAGGUCACAGCUGUAGGGUCAUGUCUCCACCACAGUAGGUCACAGCUCUUAUGUCCAUGUGUCCAUCACAGUAGGUCACAGCUGUAGGUCCAUGUCUCCAUCACAGUAGGUCACAGCUGUAGGUCUCUUCUCCAUCACAGUAGGUCACCAACUGUAGGUCCAUGUGUCCAUCACAGUAGGUCACAGCUGUAGGUCCAUGUUUCCACCACAUUAGGUCACAGCUGUAGGUCCAUGUCUCAAUCAGAGUAGGUCACAGCUGUAGGUCCAUGUCUCCACCACAGUAGGUCACAGCUGUAGGUGCAUGUCUCCACCACAGUAGGUCACAGCUGUAGGGCCAUUUGUCCAUGUCUCCAUCACAGUAGGUCACAGCUGUAGGUCCAUGUGUCCACCUCAGUAGGUCACAGCUGUAGGUCCAUGUCUCCAUCACAGUAGGUCACAGUUGUGGGUCCAUGUCUCAAUCACAGUAGGUCACAGCUGUAGGUCUCUUCUCCAUCACAGUAGGUCACCAACUGUAGGUCCAUGUGUCCACCUCAGUAGGUCACAGCUGUAGGUGCAUGUAUCCAUAUCAGUAGGUCACAGUUGUAGGUCCAUGUGAUCAUCACAGUAGGUCACAGCUGUAGGUGCAUGUCUCCACCACAGUAGGUCACAGCUGUAGGGCCAUGUGUCCAUGUCUUCAUCACAGUAGGUCACAGCUGUAGGUCCAUGUGUCCACCUCAGUAGGUCACAACUGUAGGUCCAUGUUUCCAUCACAGUAGGUCACAGAUGUAGGUCCAUGUGUCCACAUCAGUAGGUCACAACUGUAGGUCCAUGUUUCCAUCACAGUAGGUCACAGAUGUAGGUCUAUGUCUCCAUCACAGUAGGUUACAGCUGUAGGUCCCUUCUCCAUCACAGUAGGUCACCAACUGUAGGUCCAUGUGUCAAUGUGUCCAUCACAGUAGGUCACAGUUGUGGGUCCAUGUCUCAAUCACAGUAGGUCACAGCUGUAGGUCUCUUCUCCAUCACAGUAGGUCACCAACUGUAGGUCCAUGUGUCCACCUCAGUAGGUCACAGCUGUAGGUGCAUGUAUCCAUAUCAGUAGGUCACAGUUGUAGGUCCAUGUGAUCAUCACAGUAGGUCACAGCUGUAGGUGCAUGUCUCCACCACAGUAGGUCACAGCUGUAGGGCCAUGUGUCCAUGUCUUCAUCACAGUAGGUCACAGCUGUAGGUCCAUGUGUCCACCUCAGUAGGUCACAACUGUAGGUCCAUGUUUCCAUCACAGUAGGUCACAGAUGUAGGUCCAUGUGUCCACAUCAGUAGGUCACAACUGUAGGUCCAUGUUUCCAUCACAGUAGGUCACAGAUGUAGGUCUAUGUCUCCAUCACAGUAGGUUACAGCUGUAGGUCCCUUCUCCAUCACAGUAGGUCACCAACUGUAGGUCCAUGUGUCAAUGUGUCCAUCACAGUAGGUCACUGUUGUGGGUCCAUGUCUCCAUCACAGUAGGUCACAGCUUUUGGCCAAUACAGAGAAUUAUGCUCAACGAAAGCAAAUAAUAAAUAGUAUUGAGUACUCAUAAAGGGUUUCUUGUCAGAGCAGGUUGAGAGAGUUAAGGAGAGGGCAUGAUGACGGCCUAACAUUCAGGAAAAUCUUUCAACAUCAAACUGCUACACGUGAUAUUGAGUGUUGAACAGUUGAAUGUGUAAUGCCGUCAUUGUUAUAUAUAUGCAAUAUAUUUUCUGAUCAGAUUUAGUGUUUACGGUAAUCAAACAUAACAAGGUCGCUCGUUAUACUAGAGUUCUUUUAAAGUGGAAACUGAGGACCAUAUUUAGCUUUUUACAGGAGUGGGCCAUGCCAAGUUUAUGACAUGGGAGCCAUAUUUCUGUCACGUGAUCUGUUGUUCCACCAAUGAGAAGAUGAGUCAUGGCAGGCCUAGUUUGAUUGAUCAAGAUCAAAUAUCCUCUCGUUAGCUGAAUAAUAUGAAGCUAUCUGCCAUUUAUGAAUGGGAUAUCUGGUGCAAGUCAAAAUAAGGAAUCAAAUUUCGAAAGGUCCUCUACAUGUCUACCUUAACAUUUUUAAGCAUGACUAAGGCUUUGGAUAUUGUAAACCUGGUCUACACAUUCACCAGUUAGGACUGAGGCUCAAGAGAAUUUGCGGUCCCAGCUCGAUUUAAUCUAGUCGUUAGACAUGAACGCAGGUUUAAUGACGUAACGCAAUCUACCAAUUAGGAUCUAAGGUCAAGAGAACAAGCGGCCCUAGCUAGAUGUUCAACCUAACGAAGCAGAGACAUAUUUAACUGAUGGGGAUAUUGUCUUUCGUUGUUUAUCUUGUGAAGUAUGUAUUGUAUUGCUGUAUCUGCGUGAUAUAAUGGAUUGAAACAUUCCGUCCAUUAGCCUCUAUGAGUGUUUGGAGAGGAGGCUAAAGGCUCAUUGAGAGGUUGGCCUUAGAUGCCUUUUAAGUAAAGUGGACAGUCUUUGUACAUAGCAUUUGAAGAUAUUCUUAUUAUUCAUUUAUUCAUUCCAACUAUAUCUAAUUUUCUUUUGUUCUUGUAAAUUACGCAACUAAUCGGACUAAAUAAUCAAAUAAAUAGAUUAUCAUAUACUGACCAAAGAAAGUUAGGGAUCAUGUCCAUUUUUGUGGAUAUUUUUAUGAAAGUGUGUUUUCAGUCUUCACUACAAUAAUCUCCCCAUUAUAUUCUUGAUCUUUAACCUUUUUUGGUCAGUAUAUAGAAUAAUCCACACAUGACCUAUCACUGCCACAACGGUCAUAUAUACUGAUGAUAUACUGAACGGUUAUGAAGAGGAACGUGGGUAAACUAUGACAUAUGGCACCAAAAUGCAAACAAGAAAGUAGUGAAAACCCCAGAUAUCACUGCAGAGAAGGCGGUCGGGUAGCCUAGUGGUUAAAGCGUUCGCUCGUCACACCACUCAUCGGGGGUGGGGUAGCCUUGUGGCUUAAGCGUUUGAUCGACAUGCUGAAGACCCAGGUUAGAUCCCCCAUAUGGGU